rnacentral:rRNA from 1 species
UACGUAGGGGGCAAGCGUUGUCCGGAUUUAUUGGGCGUAGAGAGCGUGUAGGCGGCCAUACAGGUCCGUUGUGAAAACUGGAGGCUUAACCUCCAGACGUCGAUGGAAACCGUAUGGCUAGAGUCCGGAAGAGGAGAGUGGAAUUCCUGGUGUAGCGGUGAAAUGCGCAGAUAUCAGGAAGAACACCCGUGGCGAAGGCGGCUCUCUGGGACGGUACUGACGCUGAGACGCGAAAGCGUGGGGAGCGAACAGG